rnacentral:rRNA from 1 species
GGGCGUAUGGAUAAUUUAGAAGAUUAACAGUGAUGUUGAUUGGAAUUAUCUUUAGUGCAGAUCUUGGUGGUAGUAGCAAAUAUUCAAUAGAGAACAUUGAAGACUGAAGUGGAGAAAGGUUUCACAUGAACAACACUUGGAUGUGAGUUAGUCGAUCCUAAACGGUGGGUUAACUCCAAAUACAUGAAUACUUGUAUUCUGUACCGUGAAAGGGAAACAGGUUAAUAUUCCUGUACUAUAUCAAGGAGGUAAAGUGGUAACACAAAUGAACUCAAAUACAUCAGUAGAAUAACCAGGAAGAGUUCUCUUUUCUUUUUAACGUACUUUCCCGCAAGGGAUGUAUAAUGACCAUGGAAUCAAUUAGUUGGAGAAAUGGUUAAAGAGUCGGUAGAGUAAAUCAAUUUCUGAUUUAUCUGGUUAGGUUCUAAUGGUACAUAAAAAAUUUGAGGGAAUGAUCUUGCUUGAAUAGUCGUACUCAUAACCGCAGCAGGUCUCCAAGGUUAGAAGCUCUAGUUGGCAGAAUAAUGUAGGUAAGGG